rnacentral:rRNA from 1 species
GUGGGGAAUAUUGCACAAUGGGCGAAAGCCUGAUGCAGCAACGCCGCGUGAAGGAUGAAGGUCUUCGGAUCGUAAACUUCUGUCCUAAGGGAAGAAUAAAUGACGGUACCUUUGGAGGAAGCCCCGGCUAACUACGUGCCAGCAGCCGCGGUAAUACGUAGGGGGCGAGCGUUAUCCGGAAUUAUUGGGCGUAAAGGGUGCGUAGGCGGUUUCUUAAGCGCGGGGUGAAAGGCAGUGGCUUAACCAUUGUUAGCCUUGCGAACUGGGAAACUUGAGUGCUGGAGAGGAAAGUGGAAUUCCUAGUGUAGCGGUGGAAUGCGUAGAUAUUAGGAGGAACACCAGUGGCGAAGGCGACUUUCUGGACAGUAACUGACGCUGAGGCACGAAAGUGUGGGGAGCAAACAGG